UAUGUGGAAUUUACCAGUUGGCUGGCGGUGUCCCUGAGACCCUAAAACGUGAGACGGUUUCACGUAUUCGGCUCUCAGUACAUUUACACGACCGACAAUUCGACAGAAUUCC
rnacentral:pre_miRNA from 10 species